AUUGAACGCUGGCGGAAUGCUUUACACAUGCAAGUCGAACGGCAGCACGGGGCAACCUGGUGGCGAGUGGCGAACGGGUGAGUAAUAUAUCGGAACGUGCCCAAUCGUGGGGGGGUAACGUAGCUAAAGUUGCGCUAAUACCGCAUAUUCUGUGAGCAGGAAAGCAGGGGAUCUUCGGACCUUGCGCUUUUUGGAGCGGCCGAUGUCGGAUUAGCUAGUUGGUGGGUAAAGCCCACCAAGGCGACGAUCCGUAGCGGGUCUGAGAGGAUGAUCGCCACACUGGAACUGAGACACGGUCCAGACUCCUACGGGAGGCAGCAGUGGGGAAUUUUGGACAAU
rnacentral:rRNA from 1 species